UUAGAGAUUAUUUUUUGAAAUUUGUGUAUAAAAAGAGAGAUUUUUUCUCCAUAUAUAAAACAUAAUUGUUAUUAAGAAUGAACACAAUUUUCUACCUGAUAGGAUUUUUAUAUGCGCUGACUAUCGCAAUGAUCAUGAGUGACUGCCCUACCACUAUCUAUGAUCCAAAUAGCAGGGAAUUACGCAGACAACUCGAAUAUUUAGCAACGCAUGAUAGGACAUUAUUCUGCCACGAUUAUUGCAACUCAGAAGAAUAUUUCUGCUGUAAUUGUUAAAUUUGCGAAUCCGCCCAAGUGUGCUAUAUCAAAUCUAUUUUUAAGUUAUAUUUACUAUUUCGUUAUAUACAAAAAAUACAGAAAAAUUUAUUGGAAAUAAUUUGAAAUAAUUUUAAACUCUUUAAUUAUAUUAAUUUUUUUUUUGUAAUAGAAAAUAGUUGAAAAUAUAAAUUAUAGAUUAAUUAUUAAUUAUUUAUUAUAAGAUGGCUAUUAUUUUGUCUAUAUUAGAUUUAUAAACCUCUAACAACAGGAGGAGCAUGAAGCAUGAUACGCUCCUUUGUUAGUUCGGGGUACUUUCAUUAUAUGGGAUUUGUUUAUUUAACAUAAUCAUAAUCAUCUCAACUUCUAUAAUAUUUUUUUUCAUUCCUUAUUGCUAUUUUAAAUUAUUAUUUUGCUAUUCUGGAGAAAUAUCCUUAAUAAAGUUAGUAUAUUACCUAGAA